GGUGGUGGAUUACAGGUCGAACGCAUGAAACACUCCACGGGCAAUGGGUGCGGGAGUGUGAGAUAAGAUAACGCCAAUUACACAGAUUACACCCAAUUGCAUUUGACAGCUCUCGCGCGCGUACUCCCCAAAAACUUCAAGCGAUGCAUUUCCUAUCUGCAUAUAUAUCGGUAUGUAGGCGUGUGCGUAUGUGUGCGCUCUCUUUGCUCUCAGCAUUAGAAUGCAACAGUAGCCAACAAUAACAACACUUCCCAUACCUAUACCAAUCAAUGCAAUCUCGCCACGUUGGGGGAUGACGAUGGUGAUGCUGCUGCUGAUGUUAGUACACUAUCCUGUCAUCACCGUCACGGGCAUUGCACUCUCGUCGUGCAGAGUGAAGCUUCAUGCAAUGAGGAAGCUGAAGAAGAGCAUAAAAAAGUUCGCAAUCAAAAUUGUUCGGUGCCGUAAAUCACCUCCCAAAUACACAACGGCAAAGCUAAUCUGCUUUAGUGCCUUCGGAUGAUUCCACCGCUCUGGCGAAAGAACAGGUUUCAAACAGGAUCGAACUUGUUUUUGGCUAGAGGGUGCGUUUAGAAGGGUGUAUCAUGUGUCUGGUAAGAAGCAAUAACAAAAAGUUUGACUGUUGCCUUGGGCAACAGAAGAACAGGAAUGGGAGGCAGGUUUAUGUUUUGUGGUGAAUUCGCUAAUCAUUUUUCUCGCUACCAGAUGACAGCCGUGAAAACUAGAUUGUCCAUCCCGACCAUCCUUCCCACGAUUAAGGUUCACUAAAUAAUUUCACCCAACAUUGACCGUUCGACCGACUUCCGAACAUUGGUGUAUGCAACAGCAGAAGAAAUACAACAGAAGGGGUGGAGUGGGUGGUCUUGUUCACAACACAACAAACAACACACACGAACGCACCUCUCACGGAAUGAACGAACACGCACGGCUCUACACGGCAGACACUUCCUCACGCUUCUGCUAUUCAACAAAUUCUGAGAAACUCGCAGCAAAAGAGCUAUGCUGUGUGCUAUGAGUAUGCUUAUGUACCGGACGGUUUGUACCGCUAUGUAUAUUUGGGGAUGGGAGGCUGUGUUUGUGCGUAGUACAAACACUACCGUAACGUAGCCUCAGUUGGACAGUUCUUGUAUUUUGGCUUAGAUCAAGUUUCCCACCCCUAAGAGCGAAAUAGUAUAUAAUUAUUUUGGUGUUCAGUAUACAAACACACGCAUUUAUACUUUUGGACGUGGUAAAGUUUGCAAAUUUGUGACUGCAAAUAAAAAUGGUGAGAAAAACCCUUGCAUAAGAAUUGAACCGCACGUGCUAAACUUAAUGCCUCUCUCUCUCUCUGCAUAUGUGUGAGUGAGUGCGUGGACAAAGGAAAACGUCAAAGUGAAUUUGGUUUGUUUACAUAUGCGUACGACAUGGAUGGGUUUUUCUUCGUCACUAAAACACUUUUUCGUAUCAUAUUAUGUGAAUAUUUAACGGUGCAAUGUCGACUGGCUGAGGGGAAAUGAACGACCAAUAGACGAACAUAUUGUUGUCGAAUAUGUAAGGCAAUGGCAUGAAGCGCAGGUAAUAGAAAUAGUACGACAAGAAAAACACAUUUUUGCAUACGUUGUCGGCCUUGAAGCUUUAUUUGGUGUUGCAAAACAAAAACAAAACGUUCGAAUGAUGAAAUCUCUUCAACCAGUUACAGUUUAGCAAACAAAAUACCAGCCCAUUCUUCUGGGUUCCAGUUCCAUCUGAGAUAAAAACAAAAAGGAAAAAAAACCGUAACAAAGAAAAACCAAAAACAAGCCACGAUCGUCGUUGAAAACAGUUCGAUGAUCUAUUUCAAGGAGUGUUUGUCAUUAUCGCGCGAUACGAUCAGUUGUGCAAGCAACUCUUCACCAUGAAAGCAACACAUUGGUAUCCGGUCAUCAUUUCAGCUGUACUCAUUUGUGUAAAAUUUGUAUGCAAAAUGUAAUCUGUAGCUCAUAUUUCGUACCCUUUUUUGGUUUGGUCUGUUGUUUUUUGGGUGUUUUUUUUGCUUUCGCCAUAUUUAUCGAGGCUUGUUUUGGGCGUGGGUAAUCGUGUAAGGAACAGUGCCUGUAUAUAUCAAAGAAAUAGAGAAAAUAAUUAACUCCUACUCAAUAUUGGAACCAUAUCAUUGACAACACAGUGUAAACGAGUUUUUAAAAUUCUUGUAUUCCAACACAUUUCCUUGUUGUUCUUUAUUUCGCUGGACGUAUAAUCGAUCGAUUAGACUACAUUACACUUAACA